GUUUAAUACUUUACUGGUUCCUUGUUUCUUUGCCCCAGUGAAUCCUGCUAAAGUGCUUACAGGGGGAAGUUUAGAAAACCACACACACUUACCUUUGCUGCCCCAUGAUGCCUGCUGUGUUUGAAUGCACAAUCAGGCCAUCCGAGCACUUGCAUGAUUGGGCAUACUGCGAUAGUGCAGUGCCAACAUAAAUGGCACCAAAUGGUAAAUUUUGUUUAAAACCGAUCAGUCAUGUUUUUGGGACUUCACAUAUUUUGCAGACACCUGACGGCUACAUCGCUACAUAGUAUACAAUGGCCCAGGGUACAGCUGACAGGUACCCAUGCCUCACAAGCCUCCCGAUUUCGGAGGACAGUACCGACUCUGUUCUCACACUUUUGGGAAUACCAGGGAAUUGUCCCCCAAAAAACAUUGUGUUUUUUAGACACACUCGCACUACAUUCAGG